rnacentral:rRNA from 1 species
UACGUAGGGAGCAAGCGUUGUCCGGAAUCAUUGGGCGUAAAGCGCGUGUAGGCGGCUUGGUAAGUCUGCUCUGAAAGCCCGGGGCUCAACCCCGGGAGGCGGGUGGAUACUGCUGAGCUCGAGUCCGGAAGAGGCGAGUGGAAUUCCUGGUGUAGCGGUGAGAUGCGCAGAUAUCAGGAGGAACACCGAUGGCGAAGGCAGCUCGCUGGGACGGUACUGACGCUGAGACGCGAAAGCGUGGGGAGCAAACAGG